rnacentral:rRNA from 1 species
UGGGGAAUAUUGCACAAUGGGCGCAAGCCUGAUGCAGCCAUGCCGCGUGUGUGAAGAAGGCCUUCGGGUUGUAAAGCACUUUCAGCGGGGAGGAAGGCGUUAAGGUUAAUAACCUUGGCGAUUGACGUUACCCGCAGAAGAAGCACCGGCUAACUCCGUGCCAGCAGCCGCGGUAAUACGGAGGGUGCAAGCGUUAAUCGGAAUUACUGGGCGUAAAGCGCACGCAGGCGGUCUGUCAAGUCGGAUGUGAAAUCCCCGGGCUCAACCUGGGAACUGCAUUCGAAACUGGCAGGCUAGAGUCUUGUAGAGGGGGGUAGAAUUCCAGGUGUAGCGGUGAAAUGCGUAGAAAUCUGGAAGAAUACCGGUGGCGAAGGCGGCCCCCUGGACAAAGACUGACGCUCAGGUGCGAAAGCGUGGGGAGCAAACAGG